rnacentral:rRNA from 1 species
UUCCGUAGGGGUACCUGCGGAGGGAUCAUUACACAAAGACAUAUGAAGGCUGUCCGCAGCUGGAGUAUUUUAUUACCCUUGUCUUUUGCGCACUUGUUGUUUCCUGGGCGGGUUCGCUCGCCACCAGGACCACCAAAUAAACCUUUUUUAUGCAGUUGCAAUCAGCGUCAGUACAAACAAUGUAAAUCAUUUACAACUUUCAACAACGGAUCUCUUGGUUCUGGCAUCGAUGAAGAACGCAGCGAAAUGCGAUACGUAGUGUGAAUUGCAGAAUUCAGUGAAUCAUCGAAUCUUUGAACGCACAUUGCGCCCUUUGGUAUUCCAAAGGGCAUGCCUGUUCGAGCGUCAUUUGUACCCUCAAGCUUUGCUUGGUGUUGGGCGUUUUUGUCUUUGGUCGCCCAAAGACUCGCCUUAAAGUGAUUGGCAGCCGGCCUUUCUGGUUUCGCAGCGCAGCACAUUUUUGCGCUUGCCAUCAGCAAAACGGCAAUCCAUCAAGCCUCCUUCUCACGUUUGACCUCGGAUCAGGUAGGGAUACCCGCUGAACUUAAGCAUAUCAAAGUCCGGAGGAAA